GUCUACGGCCAUACCACCCUGACGUGCCCCAUCUCAUCUGAUCUCGGAAGCUAAGCAGGGUCAGGCUUGGUUAGUACCUGGAUGGGAAACAGUUCUGUCUUGACC
rnacentral:rRNA from 1 species